rnacentral:misc_RNA from 1 species
GCAAACUUGGUCAUUUAGAGGAAGUAAAAGUCGUAACAAGGUUUCCGUAGGUGAACCUGCGGAAGGAUCAUUACCGAGCUUUGAAGGAGUUUUGCUUAGCAUCUCUCCUUUGUUCUCUCUUUUUCACCCUUUUUGUUAUCAUUUUUUCUCAGUUGCUUUGGCAGGAUUGUGGACCCGGUUCGUUCUUCUGCCAAGGGAUUUUUCUUAAACACCUUUUUUAUCCAAUAAUCGGGGAUUAUCUCUCGUCUGAUUUAUGACUUUUGAAUAAGUACAUAAAACUUUCAACAACGGAUCUCUUGGUUCUGGCAUCGAUGAAGAACGCAGC